UGUCUCAAAAAAAUAAAAAAGAAAAAAAGA
rnacentral:piRNA from 1 species